UGCUACAUGACACGUCUUGCAAGAAAAUAAAGGACUACUCUUGCGCCAUUAUAAUACUCAAGUGGCGAAUGACGGGGUGGGGCGCGCAGUGAACUGGUUUUCUAAAAAGAUUGGAAGAUCCGGCCAAAAAAGGUGAUAGCCCUGUUCAUUCGUUCCCAUGGUUCGAUCCUUCCCAGUAAAACGCGGCGUGUUCGAAUGAUGAUCGCUUUUAUGCGAGAAAGGGGGACCACCUUCUAAGCCUAAGUAUUCCUCAAUGACCGAUAGCGUACAAGUACCGUGAGGGAAAGGUGAAAAGAACCCCAAUUGGGGAGUACAAUAUAGAACCUGAGAUCUGAUGCGAACAAUCAGUCGAAGGAGCGAAGCACGCUGAAUACGAUUCGAUCUCCUGUGCAAUCUAUAAGGAAGCUAAAGGCCUGGCUGGCUCCCGCGUGGAACUCAGCUACAUAGGAGACAGAGGAGAAGGAUUCCAUCAUUGAAAAUACACUUUGGUCCUGGUUGUAUAUGCACCUUAUAUGGAGAUUUUUUUAGUAUUUUAAUAAAAAGUCAAAAUAUGUAAGAACUAUUUUGACCAAACACUUGACUUACUUUUGCACUAGUA
rnacentral:ncRNA from 1 species